UGAGGAUGAGAACUGGUUGGCAACCGUCAGGCUCAUAACCUGAAGGUCGUAGGUUAAAAUCCUAUCCCCGCAACCA
rnacentral:tRNA from 1 species